rnacentral:ncRNA from 2 species
UUGAAUAAUACAAAAAUGAGUACACUUUCCUUCUUACUUUGAAGAAAGUGUUUAAAAGGGAAGUCAGUUUAAUUCUGACGCGGUCCCGCCACUGUAAUAAGGAGUAGCCUUACAAUAUGUCACUGGAUUUGUCCGGGAAGACGUAAGGCUAUGAUGAACCUAAGCCAGGAAACCUGCUCAUUUGAAAUUCACCUU